rnacentral:rRNA from 1 species
UACGAAGGGGGCUAGCGUUGCUCGGAAUGACUGGGCGUAAAGGGCGCGUAGGCGGAUGGCACAGUCAGAUGUGAAAUUCCCGGGCUUAACCUGGGGGCUGCAUUUGAUACGUGUGAUCUAGAGUGGGGAAGAGGGUCGUGGAAUUCCCAGUGUAGAGGUGAAAUUCGUAGAUAUUGGGAAGAACACCGGUGGCGAAGGCGGCGACCUGGUCCUUUACUGACGCUGAGGCGCGAAAGCGUGGGGAGCAAACAGG